AGAGUUUGAUCCUGGCUCAGGAUGAACGCUAACUACAGGCUUUAACACAUGCAAGUCGAGGGGCAGCAUUUUUAGUUUUGCUUGCAAACUAAAGAUGGCGACCGGCGCACGGGUGAGUAACACGUAUCCAACCUGCCGAUAACUCUAGGAUAGCCUUUCGAAAGAAAGAUUAAUACCGGAUGGCAUAGGAUUAUCGCAUGAUAA
rnacentral:rRNA from 1 species